GGGUUGUGAGGUUAAGCGACUAAGCGUACACGGUGGAUGCCCUGGCAGUCAGAGGCGAUGAAGGACGUGCUAAUCUGCGAUAAGCGUCGGUAAGGUGAUAUGAACCGUUAUAACCGGCGAUUUCCGAAUGGGGAAACCCAGUGUGUUUCGACACACUAUCAUUAACUGAAUCCAUAGGUUAAUGAGGCGAACCGGGGGAACUGAAACAUCUAAGUACCCCGAGGAAAAGAAAUCAACCGAGAUUCCCCCAGUAGCGGCGAGCGAACGGGGAGCAGCCCAGAGCCUGAAUCAGUGUGUGUGUUAGUGGAAGCGUCUGGAAAGGCGCGCGAUACAGGGUGACAGCCCCGUACACAAAAAUGCACAUGCUGUGAGCUCGAUGAGUAGGGCGGGACACGUGGUAUCCUGUCUGAAUAUGGGGGGACCAUCCUCCAAGGCUAAAUACUCCUGACUGACCGAUAGUGAACCAGUACCGUGAGGGAAAGGCGAAAAGAACCCCGGCGAGGGGAGUGAAAAAGAACCUGAAACCGUGUACGUACAAGCAGUGGGAGCACGCUUAGGCGUGUGACUGCGUACCUUUUGUAUAAUGGGUCAGCGACUUAUAUUCUGUAGCAAGGUUAACCGAAUAGGGGAGCCGAAGGGAAACCGAGUCUUAACUGGGCGUUAAGUUGCAGGGUAUAGACCCGAAACCCGGUGAUCUAGCCAUGGGCAGGUUGAAGGUUGGGUAACACUAACUGGAGGACCGAACCGACUAAUGUUGAAAAAUUAGCGGAUGACUUGUGGCUGGGGGUGAAAGGCCAAUCAAACCGGGAGAUAGCUGGUUCUCCCCGAAAGCUAUUUAGGUAGCGCCUCGUGAAUUCAUCUCCGGGGGUAGAGCACUGUUUCGGCAAGGGGGUCAUCCCGACUUACCAACCCGAUGCAAACUGCGAAUACCGGAGAAUGUUAUCACGGGAGACACACGGCGGGUGCUAACGUCCGUCGUGAAGAGGGAAACAACCCAGACCGCCAGCUAAGGUCCCAAAGUCAUGGUUAAGUGGGAAACGAUGUGGGAAGGCCCAGACAGCCAGGAUGUUGGCUUAGAAGCAGCCAUCAUUUAAAGAAAGCGUAAUAGCUCACUGGUCGAGUCGGCCUGCGCGGAAGAUGUAACGGGGCUAAACCAUGCACCGAAGCUGCGGCAGCGACGCUUAUGCGUUGUUGGGUAGGGGAGCGUUCUGUAAGCCUGCGAAGGUGUGCUGUGAGGCAUGCUGGAGGUAUCAGAAGUGCGAAUGCUGACAUAAGUAACGAUAAAGCGGGUGAAAAGCCCGCUCGCCGGAAGACCAAGGGUUCCUGUCCAACGUUAAUCGGGGCAGGGUGAGUCGACCCCUAAGGCGAGGCCGAAAGGCGUAGUCGAUGGGAAACAGGUUAAUAUUCCUGUACUUGGUGUUACUGCGAAGGGGGGACGGAGAAGGCUAUGUUGGCCGGGCGACGGUUGUCCCGGUUUAAGCGUGUAGGCUGGUUUUCCAGGCAAAUCCGGAAAAUCAAGGCUGAGGCGUGAUGACGAGGCACUACGGUGCUGAAGCAACAAAUGCCCUGCUUCCAGGAAAAGCCUCUAAGCAUCAGGUAACAUCAAAUCGUACCCCAAACCGACACAGGUGGUCAGGUAGAGAAUACCAAGGCGCUUGAGAGAACUCGGGUGAAGGAACUAGGCAAAAUGGUGCCGUAACUUCGGGAGAAGGCACGCUGAUAUGUAGGUGAAGUCCCUUGCGGAUGGAGCUGAAAUCAGUCGAAGAUACCAGCUGGCUGCAACUGUUUAUUAAAAACACAGCACUGUGCAAACACGAAAGUGGACGUAUACGGUGUGACGCCUGCCCGGUGCCGGAAGGUUAAUUGAUGGGGUUAGCGGUAACGCGAAGCUCUUGAUCGAAGCCCCGGUAAACGGCGGCCGUAACUAUAACGGUCCUAAGGUAGCGAAAUUCCUUGUCGGGUAAGUUCCGACCUGCACGAAUGGCGUAAUGAUGGCCAGGCUGUCUCCACCCGAGACUCAGUGAAAUUGAACUCGCUGUGAAGAUGCAGUGUACCCGCGGCAAGACGGAAAGACCCCGUGAACCUUUACUAUAGCUUGACACUGAACAUUGAGCCUUGAUGUGUAGGAUAGGUGGGAGGCUUUGAAGUGUGGACGCCAGUCUGCAUGGAGCCGACCUUGAAAUACCACCCUUUAAUGUUUGAUGUUCUAACGUUGACCCGUAAUCCGGGUUGCGGACAGUGUCUGGUGGGUAGUUUGACUGGGGCGGUCUCCUCCUAAAGAGUAACGGAGGAGCACGAAGGUUGGCUAAUCCUGGUCGGACAUCAGGAGGUUAGUGCAAUGGCAUAAGCCAGCUUGACUGCGAGCGUGACGGCGCGAGCAGGUGCGAAAGCAGGUCAUAGUGAUCCGGUGGUUCUGAAUGGAAGGGCCAUCGCUCAACGGAUAAAAGGUACUCCGGGGAUAACAGGCUGAUACCGCCCAAGAGUUCAUAUCGACGGCGGUGUUUGGCACCUCGAUGUCGGCUCAUCACAUCCUGGGGCUGAAGUAGGUCCCAAGGGUAUGGCUGUUCGCCAUUUAAAGUGGUACGCGAGCUGGGUUUAGAACGUCGUGAGACAGUUCGGUCCCUAUCUGCCGUGGGCGCUGGAGAACUGAGGGGGCUGCUCCUAGUACGAGAGGACCGGAGUGGACGCAUCACUGGUGUUCGGGUUGUCAUGCCAAUGGCACUGCCCGGUAGCUAAAUGCGGAAGAGAUAAGUGCUGAAAGCAUCUAAGCACGAAACUUGCCCCGAGAUGAGUUCUCCCUGACUCCUUGAGAGUCCUGAAGGAACGUUGAAGACGACGACGUUGAUAGGCCGGGUGUGUAAGCGCAGCGAUGCGUUGAGCUAACCGGUACUAAUGAACCGUGAGGCUUAACCUUACAACGCCGAAGGUGUUU
rnacentral:rRNA from 1 species